UCCGAAGGGGGCUAGCGUUGUUCGGAAUCACUGGGCGUAAAGGGCGCGUAGGCGGCCGAUCAAGUCGGGGGUGAAAGCCUGUGGCUUAACCACAGAAUGGCCUUCGAUACUGUUUGGCUUGAGACCGGAAGAGGUUAGUGGAACUGCGAGUGUAGAGGUGAAAUUCGUAGAUAUUCGCAAGAACACCAGUGGCGAAGGCGGCUGACUGGUCCGGUUCUGACGCUGAGGCGCGAAAGCGUGGGGAGCAAACAGG
rnacentral:rRNA from 1 species